UAGCUCAAUCAGUUGAGCGUGGCGCUAGCAAUGCCAAGGUUGCGGGUUUGAUUCCCGU
rfam:Apaloderma vittatum contig46175, whole genome shotgun sequence.